rnacentral:rRNA from 1 species
UACGGAGGGUGCGAGCGUUGUCCGGAAUCACUGGGCGUAAAGGGCGCGUAGGCGGCCUGAUAAGUAGGGGGUGAAAUCCUGCGGCUUAACCGCAGGGCUGCCUUCUAAACUGUCAGGCUAGAGCACAGUAGAGGCAGGUGGAAUUCCCGGUGUAGCGGUGGAAUGCGUAGAGAUCGGGAAGAACAUCAGUGGCGAAGGCGGCCUGCUGGGCUGUUGCUGACGCUGAUGCGCGAAAGCGUGGGGAGCAAACAGG